rnacentral:rRNA from 1 species
UGGGGAAUAUUGCGCAAUGGACGAAAGCCUGACGCAGCGACGCCGCGUGAGGGAUGAAGGUUUUCGGAUCGUAAACCUCUGUCAGAAGGGAAGAAACCGCACUGUGCUAAUCAGCAGUGCCUUGACGGUACCUUCAAAGGAAGCACCGGCUAACUCCGUGCCAGCAGCCGCGGUAAUACGGAGGGUGCAAGCGUUAAUCGGAAUUACUGGGCGUAAAGCGCACGUAGGCUGCUUUGUAAGUCAGGGGUGAAAUCCCACGGCUCAACCGUGGAACUGCCUUUGAUACUGCUUAGCUUGAAUCCGGGAGAGGGUGGCGGAAUUCCAGGUGUAGGAGUGGAAUCCGUAGAUAUCUGGAGGAACAUCAGUGGCGAAGGCGGCCACCUGGACCGGUAUUGACGCUGAGGUGCGAAAGCGUGGGGAGCAAACAGG